AACGAACGCUGGCGGCAUGCCUAACACAUGCAAGUCGAACGAGACCUUCGGGUCUAGUGGCGCACGGGUGCGUAACGCGUGGGAACCUGCCCUUAGGUUCGGAAUAACUCCCCGAAAGGGGUGCUAAUACCGGAUAAUGUCUUCGGACCAAAGAUUAUCGGCUUUGGAUGGGCCCGCGUUGGAUUAGCUAGUUGGUAGGGUAAAAGCCUACCAAGGCGACGAUCCAUAGCUGGUCUGAGAGGAUGAUCAGCCACACUGGGACUGAGACACGGCCCAGACUCCUACGGGAGGCAGCAGUGGGGAAUAUUGGACAAUGGGCGAAAGCCUGAUCCAGCAAUGCCGCGUGAGUGAUGAAGGCCUUAGGGUUGUAAAGCUCUUUUACCCGGGAUGAUAAUGACAGUACCGGGAGAAUAAGCGCCGGCUAACUCCGUG
rnacentral:rRNA from 1 species